GUCACUUCCGGGCUGCGGACAUUCUGUUUUAAAUGUUAUCUCUACGAAGAGGAAAGUGAGGUCUAUAUGUGUGGAAUUUGAAAAGGUUUAAUCCAUUUAUGCGGUUUAAAAAGCACUUAUUUCAAUACCAGAAAAACUAUCUUUGUACCAAACGCCACUUCUUUGAGGGUCAUGGAUCUGGACAAAUUCUGGAUUUUAGGGAAUUCGCCUUAGUUAUGAGCCCAGAUAGAGUGAUUUGUUUGCAUAGGCCCAAGUUCAGAUGCAAUGGGGGUCCAAAGUUGCUAAUUUGGUUCCAGAAACUCAAUGAUUUUCUUGAAUGAAAAUAGUGAAAUAGUUUAAAUAUCCCUACUGUUACCUUUUUUGGAAGAUUGGCAAAACUUUUCAGAUAAAAAUUUUAGGUACAGAUUCCGAAUUCUUAAAAUAUCUUUGGAAUCAGUAGCAUUCGUUAUUUGUUACAUUUACAAAACAGCUGAUUUUUAUCUGUAUCAUUCACAACAACUGCAUCACCAUGGUUUUAAAUUUCUAAAAUCUUAGUUCCAUACUAUGAUUUUUUUCUUCAAGUUACUUGAUAUGUAUGUAGUUAGAUUUAUUAACAGAAAAUAAACCUUGUCUUUUUUGUUUCCCAUAUUUCUACAAUUCUUAUCAUCAUAAUGUCUUAUGUAUAAAUUUCUGGUACUUCCUAUAAAUGUGAAUAUAUUCGUUCCUUUUACAGAUGGCAUUGUUAAAUGGUUUGAUUUGUCACACCUGAAUUCAGAAUAAUACGCAGCUACAUUUGAUGUAUUGCAGUUUCAUGGUUAUGAGGAGCCCUU